rnacentral:lncRNA from 1 species
AUCGUGCGUACGCAUGUUUAUAGUUUCGUUACGGCUCUUUCUUUCUUUUUUUUUUAUGCAGCAGUUACGAAACGAUGCUGUUUAUCUUUCUCUCUCUCUGAGUUGAUUUGGAACUGUUUAUAAAGGUGUUGUUAGAUUGCUAUUGUUUUUGCUCGGAACGGAAACGGCGCAUACUUUGGAACUGCUGCUAUCCAUUCAACAUCGUUUUAAUGUAAAGAUGGAUGCAUUGUUGAAUCCCGGGAUAGCUCCAACGACUAUUUUUAAUAGUCGCUAACUGCAAUAAAGAGGAAUCAAAAUUCCAAAUGCGAGUAUUGUUUACCUAAACAAUUUUUUUUUCCUUCUUCUUCUUCUAAUCUAACGGAAUGAUAAUCGAUGACUAAUUCGAUUUUUACGCUGUUACUUUUUUUGUUAAUAACCUGGAAUGGUUGCUGUUGCCAACCGUCGAACGUUUUCGGUUGUUUAUAUUAAAGUAAAAUCACCCCGAUUGUAAUUAAGUGUAGACUUAAACCCGAUUUAAUUGCAAUCGGGCGUAAUUUUUAAGCCAUCGAGCCAGAAACCGGCCGCUUUUAAUAGGCUGAAAGACGGACGGAUUUGUUUAUAAAAUAUAAUUUUAAUCGAUUGUUCGAUAAAAAUCGAGUUGUAUCGUUACGGUCGGCGACGUUCCGGUCGACCCCGAAUGGAAUUAAAUGUGACCAAACUCGAUUACUCGAUUACGUUGGUAUUAUUAACGUUGUUUUUUUUUUUUACGAGGUUACAAGUUCGAGUGUUACAAAUGCCGAAAUUUUAUAUACCUGGCAGUAAUUAAUUAGGUACAAGAAAGGUCGAAAUUCGAAAACUGGCUACAGAAAAAACAGAAAGAAACGCAAAUAUUUCGUUUUCUGUGGCAAGAAAUGGUUUAAAUUCGGAACAGCAGUCAUUAAAAAAAGUGUGUGUUGUUAAUGGAGCUGUUGUUGCCGAUGCUCCCGUUUUCAGUUGAUUGUAUGUUGUAUAUAAGAUCAGCAGUUGUCAUCAAUCGUGUUGUAUAAGGAACGGUUUAAAUUCAGAAUAAUGACGAUUAAAAAAAGCGUGUUAGAUGAGUUGCUGCUGAUUCUCCCUUUCUAAUUGCUUGUAUAAAAGAUCGACAGUUGCUACCAGUCGUGUUGUAUGAGGAACAAUAUAAAUUCAGAAUAAUGACGAUUAAAAAUGCGUGUUGUUAGGAACGAGCUGUUGUCGAUGCCCAUUUUUCCAGUUGCUUGUAUGCCUUAAGUCAUGUUGUAUAAGGAACGGUUUAAAUUCGGAAUAAUGAUCAUUAAAAAAUGCCUGUUGUUGGGAACGAGUUGUUAUUGAUGCCCCUUUUUUCAGUUUCUUGUAUGCCAUCAGUCGUGUUAUAUAAGAACAGUAUUAAUUUGGAAUAAUGACGAUUAAAAAAUGCCUAUUAUUAAGAACGAGUUGUUGCUGAUGCCCUCUUUUCCAUUGCUCGCUUGGCACCACCAAUCUUGUAUAAGAAACGGUUUAAAUUCGGAAUAAUGAUCAUUAAAAAAUGCCUGUUGUUGGGAACGAGUUGCCGUCUCUGAUGUCUCCUUUCCAAUUUGACUGUAUAGAGAUCAGUGAUUACCAUCAAUAAAUUCAAUCGCGUUGUAUAAAGAACGGUUUAAAUUCGGAAUAAUGAAGAUUAAAAAUGCGUGUUGUUGGGAACGAGUUGCUUUCUCUGAUGCCCCCUUUUCCAUUGCUCGUAUAGCACCAACAGUCUUGUAUAAGGAACGGUUUAAAUACGGAAUAAUGGCUAUUAAAAAUGCGUGUUGUUUGGAACGAGUUGCUGUCUCUAUUGCCCCCUUCCCAUUGCUCGCAUGGCACCAACAGUCUUGUAUAAGGAACGGUUUAAAUACGGAAUAAUGGCUAUUAAAAAUGCGUGUUGUUUGGAACGAGUUGCUUUCUGUGAUGCCUCCUUUCCUAUUGCUCGCAUGACACCACCAGUCGUGUUGUAUAAGAAACGGUUUAAAUUCGGAAUAAUGACGAUUAAAAAUGCGUGUUGUUGGGAACGAGUUUCCGUCUCUGAUGCCCAGGAACGAGUUGUUGUCGAUGCCCAUUUUUCCACCUUUUCCAUUGCUCGCAUAGCAUCAAGCAGUCUUGUAUAAGUUGCUUGUAUGCCUUAAGUCAUGUUGUAUAAGGAACGGUUUAAAGGAAAGGUUUAAAUACGGAAUAAUGACUGUUAAAAAUGCGUGUUGUUUGGAACGAGUUGCUGUCUCUGAUGCCCCCCUUCCCAUUGCUCGCAUGGCACCACCAGUCUUGUAUAAGGAACGGUUUAAAUACGGAAUAAUGACGAUUAAAAAUGCGUGUUGUUGGG